AUUGAACGCUGGCGGCAGGCUUAACACAUGCAAGUCGAGCGGGGGAAGGUAGCUUGCUACCGGACCUAGCGGCGGACGGGUGAGUAAUGCUUAGGAAUCUGCCUAUUAGUGGGGGACAACAUCUCGAAAGGGAUGCUAACACCGCAUACGUCCUACGGGAGAAAGCAGGGAAUCUUCGGACCUUGCGCUAAUAGAUGAGCCUAAGUCGGAUUAGCUAGUUGGUGGGGUAAGGGCCUACCAAGGCGACGAUCUGUAGCGGGUCUGAGAGGAUGAUCCGCCACACUGGGACUGAGACACGGCCCAGACUCCUACGGGAGGCAGCAGUGGGGAAUAUUGGACAAUGGGGGGAACCCUGAUCCAGCCAUGCCGCGUGUGUGAAGAAGGCCUUAUGGUUGUAAAGCACUUUAAGCGAGGAGGAGGCUACUCUAGUUAAUACCUAGGGAUAGUGGACGUUACUCGCAGAAUAAGCACCGGCUAACUCUGUGCCAGCCGCCGCAGUAA
rnacentral:rRNA from 1 species